AGAGUUUGAUCAUGGCUCAGAACGAACGCUGGCGGCAGGCCUAAUACAUGCAAGUCGAGCGGGCGUAGCAAUACGUCAGCGGCGGACGGGUGAGUAACACGUGGGAACAUGCCCCGAGGUACGGAACAACUCAGGGAAACUUGAGCUAAUACCGUAUAUUCCGGCAACGGCAAAGAUUUAUCGCCUUGGGAUUGGCCCGCGUCCGAUUAGCUAGUUGGUGAGGUAACGGCCCACCAAGGCACCGAUCGGUAGCUGGUUUGAGAGAACGACCAGCCACACUGGGACUGAGACACGGCCCAGACUCCUACGGGAGGCAGCAGUAGGGAAUCUUGGACAAUGGGGGAAACCCUGAUCCAGCCAUGCCGCGUGAGUGAUGAAGGCCUUCGGGUUGUAAAACUCUUUCGACGGGGACGAUAAUGACGGUACCCGUAGAAGAAGCUCCGGCUAACUUCGUGCCAGCAGCCGCGGUAAUACGAAGGGGGCUAGCGUUGUUCGGAAUUACUGGGCGUAAAGCGCGCGCAGGCGCCUUUCAAGUCAGGGGUGAAAGCCCGGAGCUCAACUCCGGAAUUGCCUUUGAAACUGUCAGGCUCGAGUACGGGAGAGGUGAGUGGAAUUCCCAGUGUAGAGGUGAAAUUCGUAGAUAUUGGGAAGAACACCGGUGGCGAAGGCGGCUCACUGGCCCGUUUCUGACGCUCAGGCGCGACAGCGUGGGGAUCAAACAGGAUUAGAUACCCCGGUAGUCC
rnacentral:rRNA from 1 species